rfam:Fomitopsis pinicola FP-58527 SS1 unplaced genomic scaffold FOMPIscaffold_7, whole genome shotgun sequence.
GGCCGCCUGGCGAAAUGGCAUCGCGUCUGACUACGAUGAAUGCAUAUGUAAUCAGGAGAUUGCAGGUUCGACCCCUGCGGUGGUCA